rnacentral:rRNA from 1 species
UAACAAGGAUUCCCUUAGUAACUGCGAGUGAAGAGGGAAAAGCUCAAAUUUAAAAUCUGGCAGUGUUUCACUGUCCGAGUUGUAACCUAGAGAAGUGUAACCUGCACUGGACCGUGUAUAAGUCUCCUGGAAUGGAGCAUCACAGAGGGUGAGAAUCCCGUCUUUGACAUGGACCACCAGUGCAUUGUGGUUGUGCUCUCAACGAGUCGAGUUGUUUGGGAAUGCAGCUCUAAAUGGGUGGUAAAUUCCAUCUAAAGCUAAAUAUUGGCGAGAGACCGAUAGCGAACAAGUACCGUGAGGGAAAGAUGAAAAGAACUUUGGAAAGAGAGUUAAACAGUAUGUGAAAUUGUUGAAAGGGAAACGUUUGAAGUCAGUCGCGUUGGUUGGGGAUCAGCCUGACAUUGUUGGGUUUACUUCCUGGUCGACGGGCCAACAUCAGUUUUGACUGCCAGAAAAAGGCCAAAGGAAUGUGGCACCUUUGGGUGUGUUAUAGCCCUUGGUCGUAUAUGGUGGUUGGGACUGAGGAAAGCAGCGUGCCGAAAGGCCGGGUUUCGACCACGUUCACGCUGAGGAUGUUGGCAUAAUGGCUUUAAGCGAC